UCAAUUCUCUUUAGCAACAGGUGUGGUUGGAUUAGUAUGCACACAGUGGGCAUUCAGCAAUGCUCUCCAGUUGCUGCUCCAUGCCUACUCAAAAGCCAAUGUCUCUGGCUCUCUUCCAGUUCAAUAUGAAUGCUUGCACUGUCUCUACUGACCUACUAUGAAAAGGAGGGUCAUUGUAAGUCCAUUCCUCAGCAGUGAUGAGGAGCUGGCUAUGUUGAGUUAUCCAUAACUUCAUUCUUGGGUGACCAAAUUUGUUCCAUAACUGGGGGGAAUCAGAGAUUUAGUCUUUAACUACUUGAUAGCUUUGAUCUGCUUAAAACUAGUGGGUAUCUUCAGGGAUAAUCUUAAGAAACAAUUUAAAAAUAAAAAUAACUUUGUGCUAAAGUGGGAAGCACAUUGGCUCUGUGCACUGGAUUUAGAAUAGUGUCUGGCAUUAGAUACUUUAAAAUCCUUAUUGAUUCUUUAACUAGAUUCUGAAAUCAGAGGACUUGCAUUCAAAUCCUAGGCCUGUCACUUAUUAUAUGCAUGAUACUUGGUGAGGCAUUUAACCCCUAUUUUUUCAUCUCUAAGAUAGGGGAAUUGGAUUAAUUGACUUCUAAGCUCUAAAGCUAUGAUCUCAGAAACUGUAACUUCUGUAAAAUAUUGGGAAGUCAUCUUGUGACUUUGGAAAGUAAUUUGAUAUCCUUGAAGCUCAGUUUUCUCCUUUGUUGUAUGUAAGUGGAUCAGGGUAGAUGGUUUGAGGUCUUCUGAGGUCUCUUCUACCCCUAAAUUUGAAAUUCUAAGACCCUAAAAUGCACUCCUACUACUGAUGGUUGAGUCAAUGGCAGCAUGUGUCAACAUGGAAUCUAAAAACUCCUAACUCAUAGCUUAGUAAGAUCUGAUGAACCCCAAGUUUCAGGACUAGAUUGUAAAUUGGAGACCCCAAAGUCUGUAAUUGUUCCCUGUUCCUGUGAGAAUCCACCCUGAAGGGAAUCUCAGUCUAGCAGCUUCAGACUGAAUAAUGGACCCUAUUGGAUCAGAGACCCUUUUCCAUGUGAACUUUAGAUUUACUCCACCCUGCUUAGUCUAACAAAACAGGAAUGUCUCCACCCUACUUAAGAAUUAAAUAUUGAGAAGGAUGGUCUAUGACAGACAUGUGCUAGCAAAUGACAAAUCAGAAACAACUGACAGACUAUGGACUGUCCUAAGUCAAGCUUCAGCUACCAUUGGUACAUGUUAGACACAGGAAAGUGAUGUAAAAAUGGCCUAUAUAUUUGGCGUCACUUCCUCUCUUGGCCUUUUUGUGCAGAGGUGGCUGGAGGCAGCAUGCUGAGUGUCUUGGUGUCUUAGCAUGGCGGCAGCUAUUGUUGGGGUUUGGUGGCACUGAAGUCCAGUGGGAAGACAAAAGUCGGGACAAGCAGAGCCUGGGAUGCAGUGGGUGACCUUGGUCUUGGGUGACCUUGGGUAAGACCAAUGUCUUACCGAGCUCUAAGUACUCCAUAACACUAGCUCCAGCCACCUUCAUAGCUGUUGGGACAAAUUGUUCUCAUCUACCCAUUCCCCCAGAAAAAGUCUUCCCAAGCUUGCAGUAGAUAUCCCCUGAGAUCACCAACAGGUUUAAAGUCUCUUGGCUUCCCUCAUCCUGGUUUAGUCCUUCUGCUGAAAUGGUUUUUAAUGGAGUGUAGCCACUGCACAUGUUACAGCUUCUUGGAACUACUUAUAGGACAUGCUGAUAAGCCAGAGAACUCUUGCAGGAUGAAAAGACUUCAUCACACAAUCCUGACAAUCAGAGGACGUCAUGCCCAACUCCCAGCACGGUCACUAGAGUUCCUGCUGUCAAUAGUUUCUGUGGAGUCUUUCUCCAUAUUGAAUUUCCUCAUGCAAAAUGCUUGGAAUUAAUGGCUUGUGUCAUGAUAUCACAGCAGAUGAAUUAUAAAUGUCUUCAGUUCCUCUUAGAUUAAAGGACUUCCCUCUUUGGAAACUAGAAA